AUUAGACUACUACUACUAUUAGACUACUACUACUAUUAGACUACUACUACUAUUAGACUACUACUACUACUAUUUAUAAAAUGUAAAAGUGUUUAUCUGCUGUGGAGAUGAAAUAAUGGCCAUUGUUUUUCAUCCACAAUUAUAUCAUAGAUAUUUAUCCAUGGAUUUAAGAAGAAUGUCUGGAUUGGAAUAUAUAAAGAAUACGGAAUCUGGAAGUGGGUUGACAAAACACCGUUUAACACUGCCUAUUGGAUGGAAGGGGAACCAAAUAACAUCCAUGGCGAGUGUGUUGAGAUCUCACAGACGGCAUCAGACCCAUUGAAGAGUUGGAAGGCUGCAACAUGUACCUCAAAUUACUUGGUGUGUGAAAAACCGUUCACACCGUAGUCUAAUUAUAAUAGCUACUGUAACCCCAUAUCUCAUGGAGUUGUUCUGGUUUUCACUGUUAGGCUUAAACUGUUUCUGUUUCUAUGUGUAACUACAUUGAAAGAUGUAUUCAUGUCUUUAAAGACUCCAGAGCUAUGUGCAGUGUGUCCACCAUUCAUCAGGCCCAGGGGAGUGGAACUGUGGUCUUAUAGGCUGUGGUUUAUCAUUCUUUUUCUUUACCAUAUUUACUAUUUUUACCACUAUGGUGUGCACAUAACAAUCUAACAACUGUUUUCAUUUCAAAACUUAUUCAAGUUUUUACAGCUAUCAAUCCAUUUGAAAUGCAGCAGUGUUCUAUGUUUGCUUCCAUUCUGUUCCAUAUGUUCCAUGUGUUCAUUCUACUGAUUAAAUACAUCUAUAUACUGUGA